CUUUCCACAAGCCGUAAGACUAAUCAACACCUCUACCCACUAAAUCCACCACUACUCGAUUAUUUCCCAUUAUGGGCAGCCUAGCAUCACUUUAUGGACAUCACUCUACAAUUAUGUAUUGCAUUGAACUGCUGCUGCUAAGUUAACAAAUUUCACGUCACAUGCCAGUGAUAAUAAACCUGAUUCUGAGUUAUGGUGUUUACUGAAUAACAUUGCACCAUCACUCCAGUGCAAUCAGAUUUGGGUCAUGGCCCAGGUUUCCUGUGCAUGCAUACUCAGUAAAUCCAAGAACAAUAAUCGAAAUAAUGAAAAACUAACCACGGAGGAUGAACACGAAACCGACGUGUAAAAGAGAGCAAACUGUGCAAAUACAAAAGAAAAAAAGAAAUAAUAAUAAUAAACAAAUAAGCAAUAAAUAUUGUGAACAUAAGGCGAAGAGUGCUUGAAAGUGAGUGCAUAGGUUGUGGGAACAGUUCGGUAAUGGGGUAAGUGAAGUUGCGUGAAGUUUCCCCUCUGAUUGAAGAGCCCGAUAGUUGAGAGGUAAUAAUUGUUCCUGAACUUGGUGUUUGAGUCCUGAGGUUUCUGUGCCUUCUUUGUGAUGGCAGUAGUAAGGAAAAAACAUUGCCUAUAUGGUGAGAGUCUCAGCUGAUUGACGCCGCUUUCCUGUGAUGUAGAUGUGGUCAACAGUGGUGAAGGCUUUACGCAUGAUGGACUGCACCACAUCCAACACUCUUUGUAGGAUAUUCCAUUCAAGGGCAUUGGUGUUUCCGUACCAGGUUGUGAUGCAGCCAGUCAAUAUACUCCCCACCACACAUCUAUAGAAGUUUAUCAAAGUUUUAGAUGUCAUAACAUAUCUUCACAAACUGCUAAGGAAACGGUGGCACUGCUGUGCUUUCUCCUUUGUUGCACUUACGUGCCGAGCCCAGGUCAGGUCCCCUGAAAUGAUAACACUGAGGAAUUUAAAGUUGCCGGCCCUCUCCACUUCCGAUAUCCUGAUGAGGACUGGCUUAUAACCUCUGGUUUCCCCCUCCUAAAGUCAAUAAUCAGCUCUUUGGUCUUGCUGACAUUGAGUGAGAGGAUGCCCUUGUGGUACCACUGAGCCGCAAUCAUAGUGAACUUAUUUGAGCAAUGUGGAAAAUGAGUGAGGACUGUACUAUAAUGGCUGCAUUGAACAGUUGGCAAAGCUGUGGAACUAAAUGAAAUAAAAGUAGCAUAUAACAAGGACAUCUUUCAACUCUGCUGAAAAUCCAAAUGGUUUGUCAUAAAAUAAACUGUGGUCGCAAUUAAAAUGUUUUAUAUUAUGUAGCUGUGUUCUCCCCAUCUGCACUCAAAAGCCAUUUUCAUAUUGUCUUCCUCUCCUCUUCUAGCUUCAUGUUAUUAAUAAAAAGUUCCUUGCAAAAGAAGGGAUCAUCACCUGCCAUCGUUAGUGCUGAGCAGGAUAAGGCAGAUGUUGUCUAAUGGUUGCAUAUUGCGAUUCAGCCUGGAGCUGAUUGGUGUGAAAAUACAGUGCUUGUCACCACAGCCUCCUCACAACUUGCCUGAGGCAGGGUUGGAAAUUUCAGGAGCUGAUUCACUGCCAGAUAUAGUGAAGAUACAAUCACAGAAAAUGUGAUUAUUUCCCCACUCCCUAACUCGUAAAUUAUUCCCCUAGCAUCACCGAUAGAUUCCCCAGUGUUUUAUGCAGUGCACUGGUGUGUGUGUGUCAUCUAGGUACAAUACGCAGCUGGGGGUGAUAAAUUUGCACUAACAGAUAUUCCCUAAGAGCAGUCUCAUGACAUGCACACAUUUGUCUGAAGGCAUUCAGACUUUGCUGGCCAGAUUUGCUUUUGACUGUAAACCAUACUGGGUGACUUAUGUAAUAUAAGUCACAGCUUGUGGUAACAUAGUGGUUGAGUUAAACAGACUGGCAACAGAGUUCUGGACCAUUUGUCCAGACAUGAGCUCAAAUCACACCACAGCCACUGAGGAAUAAGCUUUCAGGAAAGCAAAUAAAUCCUGAUUUUCUUUAGGAAAAAGCUAAUUUUAGUUAUAGUUAUGUUAUGGUAGCCAAGAAACUUGUGGAUUGCUGUACAAAACAAAAUGUGUUUGUUUCAUUCAAUCCCUCGAGGGGAGGAACUCUGCCAUCCUUAAACAACCUGGCCCAUAUGUCACUCCUGACUGUAAAUGUGAUUGGCUCUAAACUGCCUUUCAUUUGGGGCAGGUUUGGAGGGAGAAUAAAGACUGCAUUUCCGUGAGCAAAUAAGUACAAUAUUCAGUAUCUACAAUCAUUUAAUAUGAAUAAAACUGUAUCCAUAUCAGCUAAAACAAAGUGAUCUGACAAGAGUAAUAUUAUCACAACCCAACCAUCAGGAAAGUGCUGAGAUGAAGGAGUGGCUGGUUUUGCUUGACUGUUUAAACCUCAAACCCUCAAACCCUGUUCUCCACACAUGAAGUGUUCCUGUGUGUCUGUCACCAGCAUCUCAAAAUAAAAUUGCCUUUAAAAUCCCAGAAUAAAAUCAAAAAAUGUCUGCCCAUUUUUAUUUUGUAAGGAGAACGGUAGCCCCACAAAUGCACUGUUCUUUUAUACAACAGCAAACCCAGACUUGCAAAAGAGUGUCAAUGAGUUCAUAACCUGCACCUUGGAAUAGAGCAACCAGACCAGUUCCCUCUUUCCUACUUGUAAAUCCAAAAUCAAAGAUCAAUCCAAAGUUCCCCCAAACCAACCUUAGCUACAGGCAUUAGCAAACAAAUCAGCUUAUUAGUAUAAUUAUUGCACAUGUUAAUUAUCUGUACAAACAUAACAUAA